rnacentral:rRNA from 1 species
AACACAUGCAAGUCGUGGGGCAUCAGACCCUCCUUCGGGAGGGUGCUGGCGACCGGCAAACGGGUGAGUAACACGUGGGUAACCUACCCUCAGGAGGGGGAUAACCCCGGGAAACCGGGGCUAAUACCCCAUAAUGCCAGGCGCCACUGAGGUGUCCUGGUUAAAGGGGGCCUCUGCUUGCAAGCUCCCGCCUGAGGAUGGGCCCGCGGCCUAUCAGGUAGUUGGUGGGGUAAUGGCCUACCAAGCCUAUGACGGGUAGCCGGCCUGAGAGGGUAGCCGGCCACAGCGGGACUGAAACACGGCCCGCACCCCUACGGGGGGCAGCAGUGGGGAAUCGUGGGCAAUGGGCGAAAGCCUGACCCCGCGAUGCCGCGUGCGGGAAGAAGCCCUUCGGGGUGUAAACCGCUGUCAGGAGGGACGAAGGGACUGUGGGCUAAUACCUCACAGUCUUGACGGUACCUCCAGAGGAAGGGACGGCUAACUACGUGCCAGCAGCCGCGGUAAUACGUAGGUCCCGAGCGUUGCGCGGAGUCACUGGGCGUAAAGCGUCCGCAGCUGGUCGGGUAAGCGGGAUGUCAAAGCCCGCCGCUUAACGGCGGAACGGCAUCCUGAACUGCCUGACUUGAGGCACGCCCGGGCAGGCGGAAU